CAGUCGCCACGGUAAUACGGAGGGGGCUAGCGUUGUUCGGAAUUACUGGGCGUAAAGCGCACGUAGGCGGCUUGGUAAGUUAGAGGUGAAAGCCUGGAGCUUAACUCCAGAAUUGCCUUUAAGACUGCCGAGCUAGCAGGUGAGAGAGGUAAGUGGAAUUCCGAGUGUAGAGGUGAAAUUCGUAGAUAUUCGGAAGAACACCAGUGGCGAAGGCGGCUUACUGGCUCAUAUUGGACGCUGAGGUGCGAAAGCGUGGGGAGCAAACAGGAUUAGAUACCCCAGUAGUCCCUGUCUCUUAUAC
rnacentral:rRNA from 1 species